GUCGGGAUGGCUUAGUGGUCAGAGCAUCUGCCUAGCAAGCGGGAGUCCCGGAUUCGAAUCCCGGUCCGGCA